rnacentral:rRNA from 1 species
AAGGUGGGGACGACGUCAAGUCAUCAUGGCCAUUACGAGUAGGGCUACACACGUGCUACAAUGGCGCAUACAGAGGGCUGCCAACUUGCGAAAGUGAGCGAUCCCAAAAAGUGCGUCGUAGUCCGGAUUGGAGUCUGCAACUCGACUCCAUGAAGUCGGAAUCGCUAGUAAUCGUGGAUCAGAAUGCCACGGUGAAUACGUUCCCGGGCCUUGUACACAYCGCCCGUCACACCAUGGGAGUGGGCUGCAAAAGAAGUGGGUAGUUUAACCUUCGGGAGGACGCUCACCACUUUGUGGUUCAUGACUGGGUGAAGUCGUAACAAGGUAGCGCUAGGGGAACCUGGCGCUGGAUCACCUCCUUAUACGAUGAU